rnacentral:rRNA from 1 species
CCUACGGGAGGCAGCAGUGGGGGAUAUUGCACAAUGGGGGGAACCCUGAUGCAGCGACGCCGCGUGGGUGAAGAAGCGCCUCGGCGCGUAAAGCCCUGUCAGCAGGGAAGAAAAUGACGGUACCUGAAGAAGAAGCCCCGGCUAACUACGUGCCAGCAGCCGCGGUAAUACGAAGGGGGCAAGCGUUAUCCGGAUUUACUGGGUGUAACGGGGGCGCAGACGGCGAUGCAAGCCAGGAGUGAAAGCCCGGGGCCCAACCCCGGGACUGCUCUUGGAACUGGGUGUCUGGAGUGCAGGAGGGGCAGGCGGAAUUCCUGGUGUAGCGGUGAAAUGCGUAGAUAUCAGGAGGAACACCGGUGGCGAAGGCGGCCUGCUGGACUGCAACUGACGUUGAGGCCCGAAAGCGUGGGGAGCAAACAGGAUUAGAUACCCCUGUAGUC